rnacentral:rRNA from 1 species
GUAGUCCACGCCGUAAACGAUGAUUACUAGCUGUUUGUGAUAUUACAAUAAGCGGCUAAGCGAAAGCGAUAAGUAAUCCACCUGGGGAGUACGCCGGCAACGGUGAAACUCAAAGGAAUUGACGGGGGCCCGCACAAGCGGAGGAACAUGUGGUUUAAUUCGAUGAUACGCGAGGAACCUUACCCGGGCUUGAAAUGCAGACGACCGGCCAAGAAAUUGGCCUUCCAGCAAUGGCGUCUGUGUAGGUGCUGCAUGGUUGUCGUCAGCUCGUGCCGUGAGGUGUCGGCUUAAGUGCCAUAACGAGCGCAACCCACAUUGUUAGUUACUAACAGGUCAAGCUGAGGACUCUGACAAGACUGCCAGCGUAAGCUGUGA